rnacentral:rRNA from 1 species
UUUAUGGAGAGUUUGAUCCUGGCUCAGGAUGAACGCUGGCGGCGUGCCUAAUACAUGCAAGUCGAGCGAACGGACGAGAAGCUUGCUUCUCUGAUGUUAGCGGCGGACGGGUGAGUAACACGUGGAUAACCUACCUAUAAGACUGGGAUAACUUCGGGAAACCGGAGCUAAUACCGGAUAAUAUUUUGAACCGCAUGGUUCAAAAGUGAAAGACGGUCUUGCUGUCACUUAUAGAUGGAUCCGCGCUGCAUUAGCUAGUUGGUAAGGCAACGGCUUACCAAGGCAACGAUGCAUAGCCGACCUGAGAGGGUGAUCGGCCACACUGGAACUGAGACACGGUCCAGACUCCUACGGGAGGCAGCAGUAGGGAAUCUUCCGCAAUGGGCGAAAGCCUGACGGAGCAACGCCGCGUGAGUGAUGAAGGUCUUCGGAUCGUAAAACUCUGUUAUUAGGGAAGAACAUAUGUGUAAGUAACUGUGCACAUCUUGACGGUACCUAAUCAGAAAGCCACGGCUAACUACGUGCCAGCAGCCGCGGUAAUACGUAGGUGGCAAGCGUUAUCCGGAAUUAUUGGGCGUAAAGCGCGCGUAGGCGGUUUUUUAAGUCUGAUGUGAAAGCCCACGGCUCAACCGUGGAGGGUCAUUGGAAACUGGAAAACUUGAGUGCAGAAGAGGAAAGUGGAAUUCCAUGUGUAGCGGUGAAAUGCGCAGAGAUAUGGAGGAACACCAGUGGCGAAGGCGACUUUCUGGUCUGUAACUGACGCUGAUGUGCGAAAGCGUGGGGAUCAAACAGGAUUAGAUACCCUGGUAGUCCACGCCGUAAACGAUGAGUGCUAAGUGUUAGGGGGUUUCCGCCCCUUAGUGCUGCAGCUAACGCAUUAAGCACUCCGCCUGGGGAGUACGACCGCAAGGUUGAAACUCAAAGGAAUUGACGGGGACCCGCACAAGCGGUGGAGCAUGUGGUUUAAUUCGAAGCAACGCGAAGAACCUUACCAAAUCUUGACAUCCUUUGACAACUCUAGAGAUAGAGCCUUCCCCUUCGGGGGACAAAGUGACAGGUGGUGCAUGGUUGUCGUCAGCUCGUGUCGUGAGAUGUUGGGUUAAGUCCCGCAACGAGCGCAACCCUUAAGCUUAGUUGCCAUCAUUAAGUUGGGCACUCUAAGUUGACUGCCGGUGACAAACCGGAGGAAGGUGGGGAUGACGUCAAAUCAUCAUGCCCCUUAUGAUUUGGGCUACACACGUGCUACAAUGGACAAUACAAAGGGCAGCGAAACCGCGAGGUCAAGCAAAUCCCAUAAAGUUGUUCUCAGUUCGGAUUGUAGUCUGCAACUCGACUACAUGAAGCUGGAAUCGCUAGUAAUCGUAGAUCAGCAUGCUACGGUGAAUACGUUCCCGGGUCUUGUACACACCGCCCGUCACACCACGAGAGUUUGUAACACCCGAAGCCGGUGGAGUAACCUUUUAGGAGCUAGCCGUCGAAGGUGGGACAAAUGAUUGGGGUGAAGUCGUAACAAGGUAGCCGUAUCGGAAGGUGCGGCUGGAUCACCUCCUUUCU